rnacentral:rRNA from 1 species
UAAUACAGAGGUCUCAAGCGUUGUUCGGAUUCAUUGGGCGUAAAGGGUGCGUAGGCGGCGCGGUAAGUCGGGUGUGAAAUUUCGAGGCUUAACUUCGAAACUGCAUUCGAUACUGCCGUGCUUGAGGACUGGAGAGGAGACUGGAAUUUACGGUGUAGCGGUGAAAUGCGUAGAUAUCGUAAGGAAGACCAGUGGCGAAGGCGGGUCUCUGGACAGUUCCUGACGCUGAGGCACGAAGGCCAGGGGAGCAAACGGGAUUAGAUACCCCGGUAGUCCUGGCAAUAAACGGUGCACGUUUGGUGUGGGAGGAUUCGACCCCUUCUGCGCCGGAGCUAACGCGUUAAACGUGCCGCCUGGGGAGUACGGUCGCAAGAUUA